rnacentral:rRNA from 1 species
GUGGGGAAUAUUGGGCAAUGGGCGCAAGCCUGACCCAGCCACGCCGCGUGAGUGAUGAAGGCCUUCGGGUCGUAAAGCUCUGUGGGAGGGGACGAAAGCCCCUUGGCUAAUAUCCAAGGGUUUGACGGUACCCUUUUAGCAAGCACCGGCUAACUCCGUGCCAGCAGCCGCGGUAAUACGGAGGGUGCAAACGUUGCUCGGAAUCAUUGGGCGUAAAGCGCACGUAGGCGGCGCGCUAAGUUGGAUGUGAAAGCCCUCGGCUUAACCGAGGAAGUGCAUACAAAACUGGCGUGCUUGAGUACAAAAGAGGAUCGCGGAAUUCCCGGUGUAGAGGUGAAAUUCGUAGAUAUCGGGAGGAACACCAGCGGCGAAGGCGGCGAUCUGGGUUGAUACUGACGCUGAUGUGCGAAAGCGUGGGGAGCAAACAGGAUUAGAAACCCGAGUAGUCC